GAUGAAGAACGUAGCGAAAUGCGAUACUUGGUGUGAAUUGCAGAAUCCCGUGAACCAUCGAGUCUUUGAACGCAAGUUGCGCCCGAAGCCAUUAGGCCGAGGGCACGCCUGCCUGGGCGUCACACGUCGUUGCCCCCCCAUCUACUCCUUCGGGAUUGCGGGGGGCGGAUGAUGGCCUCCCGUGCGCCUCGCCGCGCGGUUGGCACAAAUGCCAAGUCCUCGGCGACGCACGCCACGACAAUCGGUGGUUGCGAAACCUCGGUUGCCCGUCGUGUGCGGUCGUCGCGCAUCGAGGGCUCGAAAAAAUUGCCGGGUUCCGGCUCGGCUUUCAACGCGACCCCAGGUCAGGCGGGGUUACCCGCUGAAUUUAAGCAUAUCAAUAAGCGGAGGA
rnacentral:misc_RNA from 1 species